UAAUAUUAUUAUAUAAAGUACGGUUUUGAAAGUUAGUAACUCACGAGAUUACGACACGUGAUACGUCUAACGAGAAAAUGUUUACAUGUGUUAUUAAAC
rnacentral:sRNA from 1 species